CGCACAGACGCAAACAGAACGCGGGACGCAUGUACUUAUAUGGUAGCUCGUCUCUAUAUUUUUAAUCUCCCCUGUAUGAUGCCGUUUAAAUGAUGCAGUACCAGUACAAAUGAAGGCACUAUUUCAACGUGAAACCCACAUGCAUAACGUGGUUGACGUGCAGAAGUGAGCUACAGGAUGUGUUUGCCGGGAAAUGCAGACAUGUGACAGUUAGCUACAAUUUCCCGCGAAACAGACCUACGCAUCGAGUGAAGAAAUAUCACCACCUGUGUGGCAGUCCCCAUGCUAGCUAUACCAAUAAAUAAAAGAUGUAGACGACCUCUUCAGGAUGCUGAGCCUUACAUCACUUGUAGAACAGACAAGCCUGGGCUUCAAGAUCAAUUUAUCAUGGAAAUAUAAAGAAGCUGUUUAAAGCAAGAUUGUCAAACUGCAGCAACAACAUCAAGACUGCUUUAACAGGGCAGAAAUUGAACUGAGACACAUAAAGUCUGACACACAGUGUCACAGGAAGGUUGCAUGGUGAGUAAUAUGGUAACAUGAUCAUCACAUUAACUUUAACAACCCAAUACAUAUAACAUAUAACACUUACUACGACACAAAGCGACAAUAUGCGUUAGGUUCAUAGGUUUAUCAUUCAGACUUGCAGUCAUAUUAUAACGGAACUGUCACAUUCUGUAAUGCAAGUCAACACCUCAUAAAGCUGUUUCCAUUUACAUAUUUUUUCGUCUCUGUUGUCAAGACAGGAAACAAAAAUAAAAACGAACUACCCAUGUUACUACAUGUUAACAAUGAGUCACUUUUUAAACACUUUUAAAGUGUUAUCCUGAUUUAUAUUGCAACAUUAUCACCAUACAUCUAGAUUAAAGAGUAGUGGUUAUUUUCCCAUGUACUGCCUCCGCCAACAAACUUUGUUCAUGCAGCCAAACAGUCAGUAACAGUGACAGAUGCUUAACUUCUGUGUUGUACUCCUUGUUUAGUUUCAGUCAACGUUCAGUUUAGCUUGUCCACCGCGGAGACACUGCUCAAAAUAGAUGCUGAGAAAAUGACCUUUGAAAAGCUGUUCACCUUUUGGUCACUAAAUUGUCACCAGUAUGUGCGCGAGUGUGUCUGACACGGGACGUGAAUGGCAGGAUCGGUGGCUAAUUUUGGCCGUUAAUGUUAACAUCAUGACUGGUCGCCACAAUCAAAACAAUGCAUGGGAACCAGCUUCUGCAUUUGGUUGCAGUGUGUGACGUCCUAUGCAACUAUGGAGGACCACAAGAGUCUUGUGUAAAGUAAUUUCAUUGUUUAAUAACUAAUUCUACAAUAAAAAUAGGCAUUAAUCCAUUUGUUUUUAACUGUUUUUUUUAAUUCAAAAAUAAAUUGGUCAUUUAUUGAUUAAAGUCAUUUAUUAUAUAUUGUUUUAAUGGGCGAUAAAAAGCGUGAUUGUAAAAAUAAUUAAUGAAUGAAACAUGAAUCCAUCAAUAAAUACUUCAAAUUAAAAAGGGACUUUUAAAAAACAAUAUAAACCACGAAAUAAAUACAUUUACCAUUUGCAUUUGCAUUUCCCCGCUGCCUUUCCUUUUCCGAUUUGCUAUUCGAUUAGCUUAGACAUUUAGCUUUUCCUUUAAGCCUCUCUAUAUACCAUUUCCCUGACACUCUGGGGCCUUGCAUUGGUAAAACGUGGUCAAACAAUGCAAAUUAGCUAUGGAGAGAGACAUGUUAUAAGAUCUGAUUGACUAGAUCCUUGUACCACAUGUUCAGAGGUGUGUCAGAUGAGCAAUGGAGAAGAGAGGAUAGUCUGUUGUUCACUACAAGUGUAACCAGUGCGCUUAGACCGCCUACUUAUUCUCUAACAGAAAUCAUAGAAAAUGAAACUUAUUGUUUGAACAGGUUGGAACAUUCAUUCUGCACGUUGUUGCAGCAGUGCUGCGGUUAUUUUGGGCCGAGUCUAUUUAUGAUGCGAUGCUUACGCGCAGUUAACGUGACAUAAGAUACUGUGCUUAUGGCCAAAAUGCUUAAGGAUUCACGCGAAAUGUAACAGUUUUACCAUUAAUGCAUGUAACUGAUGUCAGCUGUGUUUUAAUCCGCCAACAUUGACUUUUUUAUGAUACCUCAAACACAUACCAUGGUGUGUAUUAUAUAUGCAUAAAGUGAAUGCUACUGUGUACUGUCUACAAGGACAGGAUUAAUAAGUGACGCUGGAAUUUUUUUCCAAGAGCAGCUUGGACAACCCCUCGCGUUUCAGCUCCCACUGGUUGCUCAUGAACAGUGGCCCACCGGUGCUGAGGGAAGCAACUGCAUCAUGCUGUCUAAUCUAGCAUAUAUUCUUUGUCACAAUCUAGACUCUUAAUAGAAGAUGUAGAUUUACCAUGAUCAAGAAUGCCAGCUUUUUGCUGAAGUUCAUCUUUCAAACAGAACAGCAUGGAAUGCAGUACUCAUCAGGUGAUUUUGCUUCCCUUAAAUAAGAUUAUUUUAGUGUUAGAAGUAACUUUUAUUGACAUAUGCACUUUAAAAUAUGAUUUUAUGGCUUUGUAAAUAAAACAAAAAAAUAUGUAAUUUUUGCAAAGAAUAAUUUGGUUGAAGUAAAAACUUUAAAUUAUUCAGUAAAAUCUACAUAUGUACUGAAUUUAAACUUGUAAAUAUUAGACACCCAACAGUCAAGUAAAUUUUACUUGUGAUUCUUUGACAAAUGUACAUGAAUUAAUAACGUACGUGUGGCAAUUUAGAAAAAUCAAGUAAAAUUUAGGCCGAGUCCAAGCAAUCUGCGCAUGCGCGAAAAAAGAAGAUAACCCGCCAUCAUCGCCAAGAACUUCUCUUCUUUCUUCGACAGGUAAGUAGUUGAAAAGGAAUUACAUUUUGGCAUAUUGGACUUAUUGUAUUUGGUUAAAUAAAUAAUAUUGAACAUCCGAGUUGUCACGACAGUAAUUCUCUAUAUUUUCUGCAUAUUUGGAAUGUUUGUAGUCUUCGGCGAUCUUUAUUCUAACGUUAGUAAAACGUCCUACGACAUCUUACAAUCUAGUUUUACAUAAAGACACAAUAAAGUGAAUUCGUUUGUUUCUUUACCUGUGUUAUAUGUUUUGUUCGAUUAGAUGUUAUUCGAUAUACGUAUGCUGUAUGGUCAUGCAGGGAUUCUUACGAUAUACCGUUAUAACGUUACACGACAUCUUGAAACCUUUUAAGUAAUACGUAAAGUGUAACCUUGAAUGUGUGAUUUGACACGUGAUAUACGACAUUAAAAAAAGUUAUUCAUGAAAACGUCUAAAACCCUUAAACGUCUGACUGGUGAUAUACGUGACGAGUAUUUCGACAGUCAUACAAGACCACAUCUACACCAGACGCGAGUGGCGUGAGCCAUGAUGCGUAAAAUGGCGAUUAUAAACUCUUUUCGCGUCUGAUGUUAAAAAUAGUAAGACGGAUUUGAACAUGUCAUUAUAGAUUGCGGUUUCGUUUUAUCACGUGUGUAUGUGUAAUCUCUUUCUGGGUGCUGCAAUUAACGUAAAAUACCCGUAUUCUUUUGUUUAACCUUGUUUGUUUCAGUGAUGUGAAUUCAAAUAUGAAUAUUUGGUUUAUAUAUAUAGUAUUUUACAGUUUACUAAUUACUUCUUUUUAUGUUUCCUUAAUAGCAGAUUAUAUCUGGAUCCAGUCCAGUGUGUUAUACUUGUUCCAGAUCACUUGAAAGGAACCAAACACAAUUCAUUUUUGUCUUCAGUCCACAUUGGGGUACAGUAAAUGAAUCAAACUCUUAAGUAUGACUGAACUUUGUUCAGUAUGUGGUUAUGCAAGAAAUGUGCCUUUACUGCAUUAAAAAGAGCAGAACUCCUGAAACAUUACAGACUGAAACACUGGCACAGCAUGCAAAACCACUCAAUUCUUUGACUGAUUUAUGCCUUCAAUCUAAAGUAUCCGUCAGAUCUGAAAUACACUUUUGAGAUUUUUCAGAAACUGUUUCUGGAUCUCGAUGGACUUAAGCUUUCUCCUAAAGUACAGUCAUUGAAAACCAAGCUGCACACUUGAAAUGUGUGAAAUGUACUGUCUUGUUUUAUUAAUCUGUUUUGUUUACCAAACUGCUGGCGGAUGCAGAUUGAUUGUUAGUGUUCAAAUGUUUACAAAUGUUCAUGUUUACAUUCACUGUAUAUUGGCUGUAUGUACAUUUUAUAUGCUAACAAGGGUUCUAGAGUCUUUUCUGUAAGGGAUGUUUUUUGUUAGUUUAAAUUACAUUCAAAUUAUUAUUUGCCCAUGGACUUGCUGAGUGUGCUUGGUAGGCAGGUUUAUUGUGUAACAGCAGUCUUUGUUAUUCAAGUUAAGAUUCUGUCCGGUCUUUGCAAAAGUGUAGAUUCUUACAAUAUGUGAGCAAAUGUCUAUAUGCAUUGAUUUUAAGGAUUGUUAUGGAUCUUAAAGAUCUUCAAUUUCUGUAAUUGCGUGUUAUUUGGUAAAAAUAAGCUCUCAAUAAAUAGAUCUUGAUAGCACAUUUGUUGUCACAGUGACUUAUUUUAUUUGACU